GUCAAGUUGUAACGCAACGUAAUAUCAAAAUGAAAUUUUAUUAAUACAUUACGGCGACGGUGCUGUUCGCCUGGAGAGCAUUAUAGGUGUACCCCAAAAUAAAAGUAUACAAGCUUGGGUAACUUAUCCAACAACAGCAGCUGAGUACGGCAAUGAUGAACAGGGUUGAACAGGGUGAACUCCAGGAACUACAGUUGCAUCAGUAAGGCCACAAAUCUUUGUUGAGUUGGAAAACAGGGUGGAUGUCUCGACACCAUGUAAUCACGUGCAAGUGAAUGUUAAGAUAAAACCAUCCAAAGCAAGGAAGGCAAACCAGGAAAAAUUUUAGGUUAUGAUACCUUACCCCAAAGCGUAACUAGCAAUUUAUCCAGCUACCAUCGACAAUUAAAAAAGUUAGUGGGUCCAUUCCAAAACUGUCCAAAUCUAAUGAAAAUUAUUAAAAAUCAGAAUUGAAAAAAGGAAAAAACGUGAAUAAGUUAACUUACCCAAUAUCUGGCCACAUGGCACAUCAAAAAACUAAUCUAUUUUGGUUCAGGCAAAUUCUUAUUCUUAUUUAUUUAAAUUUACAAAAUUGUUCAACAGCAUUCAAAAAUUAUGCUGGUAAUCCUCACAGGAACCAACAAGAAAGGAUUUCACCAAAAAAGACGAUCUCCUCCCGAUCGCCACGCCAAUAUGGCGAUCGGAGGGAAAAAGAACAAUCAUCGACCAAAAUGAACCACCAAAGAUUUUGACAAUCCAGAAAUGACAUCAGAAAACGGAAGUUAGCGGCGUUGCCGUACUGACCAAAUGAACAGGUAUUUUGGGGAAAAAUAUUAGAAAGAUAAAUUAAAAGAAACUGUCAACACUGCGUAGCUCACCUGCUGCUGUUAAAUAUAUA